rnacentral:lncRNA from 1 species
GUAAGUGUUGCUGCCAGCAUGAAAGUAACUGCUAGGAACUUGUUUCCAUUAAUAUGAGCUAACUUUUAGAGGUGGAGUUAGGAAAAGACAUUACGCCAAACUCAUGCCCCAGCCUUUCAGUUUAAGAGGAAAGCAGCCAUGCGAAGUAUGCGCUUCCUCGGGGGAGAUUAUUAUCUCUGGCAGCCUUCUGAGUGAUUUGUCAAAAUGGAAUACAACCCAAAAGCUGAGUCCUCUGGGGCUUUAGAGUUAUAAAUGGGACAAGAUGAACCCCGAGAGGCUGACUGCUUCUAUUCUCCACGUACUUGGGCAGUAGUGUGGGUGCCCUCCAGGCAGAAAAGGAAACAGAUUGAUGAUGUCCAAGCAAUAUCUAUCAUUUUCUUGUCACACACUGGGUUCCCAAUAAUGCUCACCUGCCACAAAGAGCAAAAGCCUCCUUGAGCUCCCUCACCUUAAACUUUCAGUUCUGGAACCAAACUUUCAUGUGACUCUGGGAAAGACUUUUUUAUCAGGCUGGAAACCCAUGUGGACAGCUAGUUGAUCAACAGGCUUUUUUUCCAGGCUUAAAAGAUUUAGAGGCACUAGAAAGGAAGAAGAGGUAGGUGUCCCAUGGCCUCCACUAGGAAAAGGUAGAGAGGCACUCAUGUCUUGAGUCACUAAUGAAGCAGCCUUUCCUAAACGUUAUGGCAGUCUGUAUCUUAUUGCAAGACUGACAGACUGAAUGCCCAGCAGUAAAUUGAAUAGAUAGCAAAAGACAGGUACAUGCUGUUACAUGUGUUAAGAAUUAAGAUGAACUGGGGGAUAGCUUAGUCAUCAAGGUGCUUGCCUCACAGACACGAGGACUUUCAUUUAGAUCCCCACGUGCCAAGCCAAGUGUGGCACUGCGCAUCUGGAAGCUCCGUGAAGAUUAGCCUACUAACUCACACCACCUGCCUAAUGCUGCCAAACUGGUGAGCUCCAGGCUCACCAAGAGACUCUGUCUCAAAAGACAAGGUGAGGAAGACAACAUCUGGUGACCUCUGGCCUCCUCACACACAUGCUCCCAUAGACACUUGGCACCGACAUGUGCUAACUUUGGCGGCUUCAAUCCAAGAUUCAUUGGCCAUGUUGCUUUGGGCCUAUGAUGUGGGGUGUCGGGGGCAGGAAGGUGGAGAAAGACAGACUGACUAAGCUGACUCCAGAAGUGUCAGAUUGCAGUCAAGACAGCAGGCAAGUGAAUUGGUUUCAACAAAUAACCAGGUGGCUGGAGAGCAGCUUCCAACAGAUCUGUGAAUGCCAAUUCUUG